AUUGAACGCUGGCGGCAUGCCUUACACAUGCAAGUCGAACGGCAGCACGGGUGCUUGCACCUGGUGGCGAGUGGCGAACGGGUGAGUAAUACAUCGGAACAUGUCCUGUAGUGGGGGAUAGCCCGGCGAAAGCCGGAUUAAUACCGCAUACGAUCUACGGAUGAAAGCGGGGGACCUUCGGGCCUCGCGCUAUAGGGUUGGCCGAUGGCUGAUUAGCUAGUUGGUGGGGUAAAGGCCUACCAAGGCGACGAUCAGUAGCUGGUGUGAGAGGACGACCAGCCACACGGGGACUGAGACACGGCCCAGACUCCUACGGGAGGCAGCAGUGGGGAAUUUUGGACAAUGGGCGAAAGCCUGAUCCAGCAAUGCCGCGUGUGUGAAGAAGGCCUUCGGGUUGUAAAGCACUUUUGUCCGGAAAGAAAUCCUUGGCCCUAAUACGGUCGGGGGAUGACGGUACCGGAAGAAUAAGCACCGGCUAACUACGUG
rnacentral:rRNA from 1 species